UGGUCAUUACCAAGGCUUCUAGAAUGCAGUUUCUCAUUUGCUGUGGACAUGACCAUAGACAGAAAUUCCCAUGAGGUUCUUCAUAUGCUGUUGGGAACCUGUUGGGAACAUAG
ensembl:snoRNA